GCUGCAUUCUCGAGUACAGAGCUACUUGGAAAAGCACUUGACAGCCGGUAGAGAAAUCUCCAGCUUUUUCUUUCAGAACCACCCUCCCCAACUCAGGCAUUUCUUUCCCAAGAUCACUUGAUUAGACUUUGGAGGCAAGAAAGGACAUGCAGAGGGAGCAGGCAAAUCUCAGCCACACUACCUCACACCUGCCUAGAUUUGUGAUGUGCUCUGUCCUGUUUGCCACAUUCGGUGUUAGAAAGCAGUUAUUCAAAGCUUUGUCCCUUCUACCCCCCUUGGUUUUUCUGUAGAGCACAAAAGUGAAAGAAGCCUCUUUAGCAGGGGUAGCAGUUCAUUAAAAUAUACAACUACAUUUCCUA